GUGGGGAAUCUUCCACAAUGGACGAAAGUCUGAUGGAGCAACGCCGCGUGCGUGAAGAAGGGUUUCGGCUCGUAAAGCUCUGUUGUCGGGGACGAAUGUGCAGUAUUUGAAUAAAGUAGUGCAAUGACGGUACCUGACGAGGAAGCCACGGCUAACUACGUGCCAGCAGCCGCGGUAAUACGUAGGUGGCAAGCGUUGUCCGGAAUUAUUGGGCGUAAAGGGAGCGCAGGCGGGAAGGUAAGUCGGUCUUAAAAGUGCGGGGCUCAACCCCGUGAUGGGAUCGAAACUAUCUUUCUUGAGUGCAGGAGAGGAAAGUGGAAUUCCUAGUGUAGCGGUGAAAUGCGUAGAUAUUAGGAGGAACACCAGUGGCGAAGGCGACUUUCUGGACUGUAACUGACGCUGAGGCUCGAAAGCCAGGGGAGCGAACGGGAUUAGAUACCCUGGUAGUCC
rnacentral:rRNA from 1 species